rnacentral:rRNA from 1 species
GAGUGAAGCGGCAAAAGCUCAAAUUUGAAAUCUGGCCCCCCCCGCGGGGGUCCGAGUUGUAAUUUGCAGAGGAUGCUUUGGGCGCGGCGCCUUCCGAGUGCCUUGGAACAGGUCGCCUCAGAGGGUGAGAGCCCCGUACGGUUGGACGCCUAGCCCGUGUAAAGCUCCUUCAACGAGUCGAGUAGUUUGGGAAUGCUGCUCAAAAUGGGAGGUAAAUUCCUUCUAAAGCUAAAUACUGGCCAGAGACCGAUAGCGCACAAGUAGAGUGAUCGAAAGGUGAAAAGCACUUUGAAAAGAGAGUCAAAUAGCACGUGAAAUUGUUAAAAGGGAAGCGUCUGCGACCAGACGCGCCGCCCGCGGCUCACCCGGCGCCUCGGCGCCGGGGCACGCCGCGGGCGUCGGGCCAGCAUCGGCUCUGCCGUGGGUACAAGGACCGCGGGAACGUAGCUCCCUCGUGGAGUGUUAUAGCCCGCGGCACCAUGCCCGCGGCGGGGCCGAGGACCGCGCCCGCAAGGGCAAGGAUGCUGGCGUAAUGGCCGCCGGCGACCCGUCUUGAAACACGGACCAAGGAGUCAAGCAGUGGGGCGAGUGUACGGGUGCCAAACCCGCGCGCGAAAUGAAAGUAAACGCAGGUGGGAGCCUCCGGGCGCACCACCGACCGAUCCUGACGUUCUCUGAUGGAUUUGAGUAGGAGCCCUACUGCUUGGACCCGAAAGAUGGUGAACUAUGCCUGUAUAGGGUGAAGCCAGAGGAAACUCUGGUGGAGGCUCGCAGCGGUUCUGACGUGCAAAUCGAUCGUCAAAUAUGG